ensembl:lncRNA
CGGGGAGCCGCGGCACGCCCGUCUGCGCCCUGCGCCCUCCCCCGGGGCGCUGGAUGGGGCGAGCGCAACUUCAGCCGCCGCGGCCGCUUUCAGCCCUCUCCUCCCCGCUCUCCCCCCGUCUGCGUCGCCUCCCCUUCUCGUGUGAGAAGCGCGAAGUUGCGUUGAGACGGUACCUCGGCUGGAGCGCGAGCCUAACGAGCCCAUUAAAUAUGAUCAACGUACCGUCUGCACGGAAUGAAACCUUUCCCAGUCCUGAUUGCUCCAAAGAGGAAUCACGUCCUACCUCCCACCUUCCCAACCUUCGUUCUCCCGGCGGACACACGCGUGUAAUUACUGGCGACUGUGCAAACGCAGCCCUCAGCAAAAGCAUGCCGGUACUGUAGGGAGGGAAGGCGAAGGAAAUACCUUUCGUUAAAGAUCACCAGGUGAUCUGGAAAUAAAUGAUGGAUCGCUUUGCGGACGGGCGAGGGGAGAGGACGACUCGUUAGUGCUGAUGCUAAGCGAGGAGCACUCUGCCGCGGUUGCUUUCUUACUUAACUCUCUGCCUUCACUGAGGACCGCUCCGCUCGGGGGGGGGGGGGGGAAGAAGCAUAAACCCAAAGCCGGGCCUGCCGAGCGCGGGGUUCCCCUCCUCCAGGAAAGCAGAGCUUCGGGGCGCGAUCGUUAACUUCUGCGAUCAUCAUUGGGUUUCUUGGCAAGGAGGCUGAGCGGGCUUUUUUUUUUCUUAACCUCCUGUGUUGUUUUUUGUUUGCUCAGAUGACAUUCCCUGCUCCGAUGCCCUCCCCCCCCCCCAUCCCCCCCCCAUCCCCCGCCCGGACAGCGCUCGCACACAGACACACACACACACACACACACACACACACACGCGCACACCCCUUCUCCUUUCAUCAUCAGCAAAUAAAGAUUAGGUGGGCAGAUUAUAGAAAGCGUUUUCAGUCCUGUGCUGAUCUUUAUUCCGGAGCCUUUGUGAUGAUAUUGAUGAUGAUGAUGGUCAAGUGGACAGUUUGAUUUUUGUGUUUGGAGCUAGUUAUAAAGAAUCAAUAUUAUAUCAAGGGGUAACUUUCGUGAUAAAGGACUUUAACCACUCCGGCUAUUCAUCAUAAGUCUGUAGCAAGCAGAUAGGUCAAAAGAAAUUAUAUUGCACUAAAGAGUGUGUCUUCUUAUCUCUCCUAUACCAGGGGAAUAAGGGACAAGCCGAUCGAUACAGGAGCUGCUGUAUACUUCUUGCAAUUAUCAAUAGCUGAUUUCGUCUUUUGAGGCCUGAAUCUAUUAAUACAAACCAAUAAUAAUCUUCUGAGCAUAUCAGUAGCCAAGGGGACGAAAGUUUUUAUACUUGACAGCACUAUUUAUAGAGCUAAAGUUACCGAACACUGUCGUAUUGCGUGUGCUUCCCCGUGCUAUGCAUAUACAGACAUAUACCUUUCCAUAUACACCUCUCCGGUCAUUUGGGGCAGAAUACAGCCUUUUGCAAAGGGGCUACCUAGAUUGAGUUUGAAUGUAAGCUGUACCCACGUGUACCUCCUGCAGCGUGUGCAGACCUUCCUCACGACAGAAAUACAGCAUUUGAAUGUGUGCACCACCUAUACGUGUGCGCAUCUGUAGGGUGGCGUGCAUCUAUAGGUGUCUCCAACACGUGUGGCUGCUCUUAAAUGAGUGCUGCCCUGAUAAUAUCCCCAUAGCUGUGCGUAUGAAAAACAUUCCGCCAAGUAUUUAAAAUUGUUGCUUAAAUGAAUGUGUCAUCUGUUAGGUUAAGGAACGGAAGUGGGUGGUAAUUGGAGUUCGCUAAGUGUGAGCGUACGCUUUUGUGUGCAUGAGUCGAUGUUUAUUUAGACCCGAGAGCGGGGUGAUAUUAAAUAAAAAGAAAAGUAACUUGGAUGUUUAAGGCAAAACGUUCAGGCGGUGUUAUGCUCUAAGC